rnacentral:rRNA from 1 species
UCCUACGGGGGGCAGCAGUGGGGAAUAUUGCACAAUGGGCGAAAGCCUGAUGCAGCAACGCCGCGUGAGCGAUGAAGGCCUUUGGGUCGUAAAGCUCUGUCCUUGGGGAAGAAACAAAUGACGGUACCCAAGGAGGAAGCCCCGGCUAACUACGUGCCAGCAGCCGCGGUAAUACGUAGGGGGCAAGCGUUAUCCGGAAUUAUUGGGCGUAAAGAGUACGUAGGUGGUCUUUUAAGCGCAGGGUUUAAGGCAAUGGCUUAACCAUUGUUCGCCCUGUGAACUGGAAGACUUGAGUGUAGGAGAGGAAAGUGGAAUUCCUAGUGUAGCGGUGAAAUGCGUAGAUAUUAGGAGGAACAUCAGUGGCGAAGGCGACUUUCUGGACUAUUACUGACACUGAGGUACGAAAGCGUGGGGAGCAAACAGGAGUAGAUACCCGUGUAGUC